rnacentral:tRNA from 1 species
GAGCUCGUAGCUCAGCCUAGACAGAGCAUCGGCCUUCGGAGCCGAAUAUCGGGGGCUCGAAUCUUCCCGAGCCCG